UAAUAGCGUUAUGCUUAAGGUUCCUUUGUAAUAAAGGAUCUAAAAGGGGAAGUCGGUGAAAGUCCGACGCGGUCCCGCCACUGUAAACAAGGAGUUCUCUUCGAAAUCCUACGCUCAAAUGCUGGGACAGAGAUGAGAAUGAUGAUCUGAAGCCAGGAAACCUGCCUUAAGUAGCAUCACAAA
rnacentral:ncRNA from 2 species